GCCUACCAAGGCGACGAUCUGUAGCUGGUCUGAGAGGAUGAUCAGCCACACUGGGACUGAGACACGGCCCAGACUCCUACGGGAGGCAGCAGUGGGGAAUAUUGGACAAUGGGCGAAAGCCUGAUCCAGCCAUGCCGCGUGUGUGAAGAAGGCCUUUUGGUUGUAAAGCACUUUAAGUGGGGAGGAAAAGCUUAUGGUUAAUACCCAUAAGCCCUGACGUUACCCACAGAAUAAGCACCGGCUAACUCUGUGCCAGCAGCCGCGGUAAUACAGAGGGUGCAAGCGUUAAUCGGAAUUACUGGGCGUAAAGCGCGCGUAGGUGGUUAUUUAAGUCAGAUGUGAAAGCCCCGGGCUUAACCUGGGAACUGCAUCUGAUACUGGAUAACUAGAGUAGGUGAGAGGGGAGUAGAAUUCCAGGUGUAGCGGUGAAAUGCGUAGAGAUCUGGAGGAAUACCGAUGGCGAAGGCAGCUCCCUGGCAUCAUACUGACACUGAGGUGCGAAAGCGUGGGUAGCAAACAGGAUUAGAUACCCUGGUAGUCCACGCCGUAAACGAUGUCUACCAGUCGUUGGGUCUUUUAAAGACUUAGUGACGCAGUUAACGCAAUAAGU
rnacentral:rRNA from 1 species